rnacentral:rRNA from 1 species
AUUGAACGCUGGCGGCAUGCCUUACACAUGCAAGUCGAACGGCAGCGGGGGAGAAGCUUGCUUUUCCUGCCGGCGAGUGGCGAACGGGUGAGUAAUACAUCGGAACGUGCCCUGUAGUGGGGGAUAACUAGUCGAAAGAUUAGCUAAUACCGCAUACGACCUGAGGGUGAAAGUGGGGGACCGCAAGGCCUCAUGCUAUAGGAGCGGCCGAUGUCUGAUUAGCUAGUUGGUGGGGUAAAGGCCUACCAAGGCGACGAUCAGUAGCUGGUCUGAGAGGACGAUCAGCCACACUGGGACUGAGACACGGACCAGACUCCUACGGGAGGCAGCAGUGGGGAAUUUUGGACAAUGGGCGAAAGCCUGAUCCAGCAAUGCCGCGUGUGUGAAGAAGGCCUUCGGGUUGUAAAGCACUUUUGUCCGGAAAGAAAUGGCUCUGGUUAAUACCUGGGGUCGAUGACGGUACCGGAAGAAUAAGGACCGGUUAACUACGUGCCAGCAGCCGCGGUAA